GUUCGAUUAUAAGCUCAGAUUGAACGCUGGCGGGAUGCUUUACACAUGCAAGUCGAACGGCAGCACGGACUUCGGUCUGGUGGCGAGUGGCGAACGGUGGAUAAUGUAUCGGAACGUGCCUAGUAGCGGGGGAUAACUACGCGAAAGCAUCAUGUGCAUACGCCCAUUCGGGGGAAAGCGGGGGGACCUUCGGGCCUCGGCACAACAGAGCGGCCGAUAUCGGAUUAGCUAGUUGGUGGGGUAACGGCUCGCAAGGCGACGAUCCGUAGCUGGUUUGAGAGGACGACCAGCCACACUGGGACUGAGACUUUGACCUUGAACUCCUACAGGAGGCAGCAGUGGGGAAUUUUGGACAAUGGGGAAACCUGAUCCAGCCAUCCCGCAUCAAUGCGUGAGGCCCUUCAGGUUAUGACUUUGGCAGGAAAAACAGCACGGGGAUAAUACCCCGUGCAACUGACAGUACCUGCAGAAUAAGCACCGGCUAACUACGUGCCAGCAGCCGCGGUAAUACGUGGUGCAAGCGUUAAUCGGAAUUACUGGGCGUAAAGCGUGCGCAGGCGGUUCCGGAAAGAUGUGAAAUCCCAGGCUUAACUUUGGAACUGCAUUUUUAACACCGAGCUAGAGUGUGUCAGAGGGAGGUGGAAUUCCGCGUGUAGCGGUGGACCACGUAGAUAUGGAGGGACUUACCGAUGGCGAAAACUUUGCUUCUGGGAUAACACUGACGCUCAUGCACGAAAGCAUGGGGAGCAAACGGGAUUCAAGUGCCCUGGUAGUCCACGCCCUAAACGAUAUUGGCUGUUGGGGCCUUCGGUAGCAGUAGCAGCUAACGCGUGAAGUUGACCGCCUGCAGAGUACGGUCGCAAGAUUAAAACUCAAAGGAAUUGACAGGGACCCGCACAAGCGGUGGAUGAUGUGGAUUAAUUCGAUGCAACGCGAAAAAGAAACCUUACCUACCCUUGACAUGUCUGGAAUCCCGAAGAGAUUUAGGGUGCUCGCAAGAGAACCGGAACACAGGUGCUGCAUGGCGUCGUCAGCUCGUGUCGUGAGAUGUUGGGUUAAGUCCCGCAACGAGCGCAAUACUGUCAUUAGUUGCUACGAAAGGGCACUCUAAUGAGACUGCCGGUGACAAACCGGAGGAAGGUAGAGGAUGACGUCAAGUCCUCAUGGCCCUUAUGGGUAGGGCUUCACACGUCAUACAAUGGUCGGGACAGAGGGUCGCCAACCCGCGGAGGCCAAUCGAAACCCGAUCGUAGUCCGGAUCGCAGUCUGCAACUCGACUGCGUUGAAGUCGGAAUCGCUAUUAAUCGCGGAUCAGCAUGUCGCGGUGAAUACGUUCCCGGGUCUUGUACACACCGCCCGCCACACCAUGGGAGUGGGUUUUACCAGAAGCAGUUAGCCUAACCGUAAGGAGGGCGAUUACCAUGACAGGAUUCAUGACUGGGGUGAAGUCAUGUAAGGUAACUCU
rnacentral:rRNA from 1 species